UCACUUGCAGACUACAAGUUUGAUAGGUCGGAGGUGUACGCACAGUAAUGUGUUUAGCUGACCGAUACUAAUAGACCGAGGGCUUGAACUU
rnacentral:rRNA from 1 species